GCUUGCUUAGGAUGAUGAGAGUGGCGCACGGGUGCGUAACGCGUGAGCAACCUGCCCAUAUCAGGGGUAUAGCCCGAAGAAAUUCGGAUUAACACCGCAUGAGAUUACAGUUCCGCAUGGGACAGUAAUUAAAUAUUUAUAGGAUAUGGAUGGGCUCGCGUGACAUUAGCUAGUUGGUAGGGUAACGGCUUACCAAGGCUACGAUGUCUAGGGGCUCUGAGAGGAGAAUCCCCCACACUGGUACUGAGACACGGACCAGACUCCUACGGGAGGCAGCAGUAAGGAAUAUUGGUCAAUGGAGGGAACUCUGAACCAGCCAUGCCGCGUGCAGGAUGACUGCCCUAUGGGUUGUAAACUGCUUUUGUCAGGGAAUAAACCUUUCUACGUGUAGGAAGCUGAAUGUACCUGAAGAAUAAGGAUCGGCUAACUCCGUGCCAGCAGCCGCGGUAAUACGGAGGAUCCGAGCGUUAUCCGGAUUUAUUGGGUUUAAAGGGUGCGUAGGCGGCUUAUUAAGUCAGGGGUGAAAUACGGCAGCUCAACUGUCGCAGUGCCUUUGAUACUGAUAAGCUUGAAUGUGGUUGAAGAUGGCGGAAUGAGACAAGUAGCGGUGAAAUGCAUAGAUAUGUCUCAGAACUCCGAUUGCGAAGGCAGCUAUCUAAGCCAUUAUUGACGCUGAUGCACGAAAGCGUGGGGAUCAAACAGGAUUAGAUACCCUGGUAGUCCACGCCCUAAACGAUGAUAACUCGAUGUUAGCGAUACACAGUUAGCGUCUUAGCGAAAGCGUUAAGUUAUCCACCUGGGGAGUACGCCCGCAAGGGUGAAACUCAAAGGAAUUGACGGGGGCCCGCACAAUCGGAGGAGCAUGUGGUUUAAUUCGAUGAUACGCGAGGAACCUUACCCGGGCUUGAAAGUUAGUGAAUGAUCCGCAGACGGAUCAAUCCUUCAGG
rnacentral:rRNA from 1 species